UCGGCGGCUCUGUCUGCGGCGGCGGCGGCGGCAGCCCUGUCUGGCUUGGCGGUUCGGCUGUCGCGCUCGGCGGCGGCCCGAGGCUCAUACGGCGCCUUCUGCAAGGGGCUCACGCGCACGCUGCUCACCUUCUUCGACCUGGCCUGGCGGCUGCGCAUGAACUUCCCCUACUUCUACAUCGUGGCCUCGGUGAUGCUCAACGUCCGCCUGCAAGUGCGGAUCGAGUGAGCGCCGGCGGCGGCGGCGGCCGCGGAGGCCCGGCUGGAGGGGCGACAGUGUCCCCGCCCGCCCCCGGCCGGGUCGCGGGCAUGAAGGACAGCUGGAUCGCGGCGGGGGGCGGAGGUGGGGCGGCCCGGGCCCCUGGACUCUAGACCUACGCCGCCCGGGCACGAAGGCCCAGCCCUGGCCCUGGCCGCGGUCUCAGCCCGGGACCCCGGAUCGCGCAGAAAUGCACUGAACAGGCCCCUACAAUUGGGCUCCAGAAACUACCUGAGCUCGGACUACCUGUUGCCUCACAUUGGCAAAAGAGGGGGAAACCAGAAGGAGGGAAUUCUGCUGCGGCGACUUGACUUUCCCCGCCCCGAGCAGAAAGGCAUUGACGUUUGUAGGCGGUGACCCGCCCCUUCUCUGGCCUUGCCAAGAGUCUCAUCCCUACCCUGGGGCACCUCUGACCCUGGACCUGCUUGGGCAGAGGCAGCGUGAAGGGCCUGAACAAGAGGAGAAGAAGGGCCUUCCUAGUAGAGGCACAGCAUGGACAAAGGCUCACAGGGGUGGGGGUGCCCAGUGAUCGAGUCCUGGCUUGGGAGGGAAGGUCUGAGUUCCCUGGGAACUGAAAUCGGCUAGCAGCACUGUGAGAGAGGUGUAUUU
rnacentral:lncRNA from 1 species